rnacentral:rRNA from 1 species
CCUACGGGGGGCAGCAGUGGGGAAUAUUGGGCAAUGGGCGCAAGCCUGACCCAGCAACGCCGCGUGAAGGAAGAAGGCUUUCGGGUUGUAAACUUCCUUUAUCAGGGACGAAGCAAGUGACGGUACCUGAUGAAUAAGCCACGGCUAACUACGUGCCAGCAGCCGCGGUAAUACGUAGGAGGCAAGCGUUAUCCGGAUUUACUGGGUGUAAAGGGUGUGUAGGCGGGAGUGCAAGUCAGAUGUGAAAACUAUGGGCUCAACCCAUAGACUGCAUUUGAAACUGUACUUCUUGAGUACCGGAGAGGUCAUCGGAAUUCCCUGUGUAGCGGUGAAAUGCGUAGAUAUAAGGAAGAACACCAGUGGCGAAGGCGGAUGACUGGACGUCAACUGACGGUGAGGCGCGAAAGCGUGGGGAGCAAACAGGAUUAGAUACCCUAGUAGUC